UCAAACUCCUGACCUCAUGAUCCACCUGCCUCAGCUUCCCAAAGUGCUGGGAUUAUGGGCCGGAGUCUCCAAGCUUUUAAAAAGGCUAAAGACAGAUUAAGUCCAGACACUAAGAUCUCUCCAAACCUCAGUUUGGGGUAGUGAUGCCUAAAUGACUACUUGCCACUGUGUUCGGUGGGCAAUUUGGUUGCAAGCAUCAGCUAUGCAGUAGGGUCAUGGAUAGGGAGAGAAGUAUGAAGCUAUUUUUUCUCUUUAUGGACAGAGGGCAAGUAGAUGUCAUAGGGUACUGAUAACUACUUCUGUCCUUUCUUUUCUUAGCAAAAGAAAAUGCUUCCUUCCCUAAUGGGGACAGGAGGAGAGGACGAAGAUGAACCCAAUUGUGGGUUUUCCGGAAGACUACCAGAAAAAAAUCAUGCCGCCUAUGCCCAAGGAACUGCCUUGCUAUGUCUUCACUCUGGGAUGCAUCCAGGCUGACGGAGCAGUCUCAACUUCUAGGUGCUGCUUUUCUCUCCAGAUCGAUAAAUUUAAUGAGUUACCAUGAACCUUUCUAUGGCUCCUUCCAUUUUGUGGCUCUGCUGGUCUUCAACAUAUGGCUCCUGAGGCUGGGGUGGAAAAAGG